rnacentral:rRNA from 1 species
GGACGGGUGAGUAAUGCAUAGGAAUCUGCCCGAUAGUGGGGGAUAACCUGGGGAAACCCAGGCUAAUACCGCAUACGUCCUACGGGAGAAAGCAGGGGAUCUUCGGACCUUGCGCUAUCGGAUGAGCCUAUGUCGGAUUAGCUUGUUGGUGAGGUAAUGGCUCACCAAGGCGACGAUCCGUAGCUGGUCUGAGAGGAUGAUCAGCCACAUCGGGACUGAGACACGGCCCGAACUCCUACGGGAGGCAGCAGUGGGGAAUAUUGGACAAUGGGCGAAAGCCUGAUCCAGCCAUGCCGCGUGUGUGAAGAAGGCUUUCGGGUUGUAAAGCACUUUCAGUGAGGAAGAACGCCUUCGGCUUAAUACGCCGGAGGAAAGACAUCACUCACAGAAGAAGCACCGGCUAACUCCGUGCCAGCAGCCGCGGUAAUACGGAGGGUGCGAGCGUUAAUCGGAAUUACUGGGCGUAAAGCGCGCGUAGGUGGCUUGAUAAGCCGGUUGUGAAAGCCCCGGGCUCAACCUGGGAACGGCAUCCGGAACUGUCAGGCUAGAGUGCAGGAGAGGAAGGUAGAAUUCCCGGUGUAGCGGUGAAAUGCGUAGAGAUCGGGAGGAAUACCAGUGGCGAAGGCGGCCUUCUGGACUGACACUGACACUGAGGUGCGAAAGCGUGGGUAGCAAACAGGAUUAGAUACCCUGGUAGUCCACGCCGUAAACC